UCACUGAUAAUUAUUUUAAGAGCCGCGGUAUUUUUAACUGUGCAAAGGUAGCAUAAUCGUUAGUUUUUUAAUUGAAAUCUUGUAUGAAUGGUUUGACAAAAAAAGACUGUCUCUAUAUUAUAAAUUGAAUUUAACUUUUAAGUGAAAAGGCUUAAAUAAAUUAAAAAGACGAUAAGACCCUAUAAAGCUUAAUAUAAAUUUAUUAAUUAAUAAAAUUUUAUUAAUAUAAUUAUUUAGUGAUAAAUUUUAUUUUAUUGGGGUGAUAAUGGUAAAAUGAUUAUUAACUGUUUAUAAGAUUUAAACAAAUUUAGAUGAGUUAUAUAUAAUAAAUGAUCCUAUUUAGAGAUUAAAAGUUUAAGUUACUUUAGGGAUAACAGCGUUAUUUUUUUUGAAAGCUCAUAUUGAGAAAAAAGUUUGCGACCUCGAUGUUGAAUUAAAAUUUCUAUAUAAUUGUAGCAGUUAUAUAAGAAGGUCUGUUCGACCUUUAAAUUUUU
rnacentral:rRNA from 1 species